rnacentral:rRNA from 1 species
AUUGAACGCUGGCGGCGUGCCUAACACAUGCAAGUCGAGCGGUAACAGGUGUAGCAAUACAUGCUGACGAGCGGCGAACGGGUGAGUAAUGCUUUGGAAUCUUCCCAGUAGUGGGGAAUAACCAGUCGAAAGAUUGGCUAAUACCGCAUACGUCUGAAAAGGGAAAGCGGGGGCUCGUAAGACCUCGCGCUAUUGGAUGAGCCAAAGUCGGAUUAGCUAGUUGGUGGGGUAAUGGCCUACCAAGGCGACAAUCCGUAGCUGGUCUGAGAGGACGACCAGCCACACCGGAACUGAGACACGGUCCGGACUCCUACGGGAGGCAGCAGUGGGGAAUAUUGGACAAUGGGGGAAACCCUGAUCCAGCGACGCCGCGUGUGUGAAGAAGGCCUGCGGGUUGUAAAGCACUUUUAGUGGGGACAAAAAGCUACGGACUAAUAAUCUGUGGUCUUGAUUUAACCCAAAGAAAAAGCACCGGCUAACUCUGUGCCAGCAGCCGCGGUAAUACAGAGGGUGCGAGCGUUAAUCGGAAUUACUGGGCGUAAAGCGCGCGUAGACGGUUUUGUAAGUCAGAUGUGAAAUCCCUGGGCUCAACCUGGGAACUGCAUUUGAAACUGCAU